rnacentral:tRNA from 1 species
GUUUACCCUGUGGAACCUUCACCUUCAGAUGACCUCAGAAAAGAUUACCAACAAAAAGGAAAAG